AGGUGUGGGAGGUGUCGACUCCUCCCGUGCCGGCGCUAACGCAUUAAGUGCCCCGCCUGGGGAGUACGGCCGCAAGGCUAAAACUCAAAGGAAUUGACGGGGGCCCGCACAAGCAGCGGAGCAUGUGGUUUAAUUCGAUGCAACGCGAAGAACCUUACCUGGGCUUGACAUGUAACUGACAGCCGUGGAAACACGGUCUUCCUUCGGGACAGUUACACAGGUGGUGCAUGGCUGUCGU
rnacentral:rRNA from 1 species